CUUCACUUUUGCCGAGGAAGCGGGGGGCAUUUUCAUCAACUAUAACAUGGAGGACAAUAGUUUUUCACAGAGUUGUGGCAGACAGUAUAAAGAUAAUAUAUUUUGAAGCACCUAGCACAGGGGCCAAUGGCUACCCUAAGGUAAAAUGAUUCAUUCAUGACAGAAAAAAGGAGACUUUGCCAAUAAACUACUCCUAAACUAUUAUAGAAAUGAUGCUUUGAGGAUCCCAUCUUCAUUCUAAACUUAGCAGAGUGGCUUGAAGGGUUAAGGACCUGACUAAAAUCCUGUGAAGAGAGGAGGGGUGUCCCCAGCUGUUCACACUGUGCAUAAUCCUGGAAGAAGUUCAUGCACAUCAUAACCUUUCUACUGGUGGAGGAUCUUGUCUUGAUGUUGAUGGCUGCUGACUGAUCAAAGUGGUGGCUGCUGAAAAUUGGAGUGGCUGUGGCAAUUUCCUCAAAUAAGAGAACAAUGAAGUUUACUGCAUUGAUUGACUCUUCCUUUCACAAAAGAUUUCUCUGUAACAUGCGAUACUAUUUGAUAGCAUUUUACCCACAGUAGAAUUUUCAAAAUUGGAGUCAAUUCCCUCAAAUUUUGCCACUGCUCUAUUAACUAAAUUUAUGAAAUAUUUUAAAUCCUUUGUUGUCGAUUCAGUAAUGUUCACAGGAUCUUCACCAGGAAUAGAUUCCAUCUCAAUAAAUUGCUUUCUUUGCUCAUCCAUAAGAAGCAAC